GAUGAACGCUGGCGGCGUGCCUAACACAUGCAAGUCGAGCGAUUCUCUUCGGAGAAGAGCGGCGGACGGGUGAGUAACGCGUGGGUAACCUGCCCUGUACACACGGAUAACAUACCGAAAGGUAUGCUAAUACGAGAUAAUAUGCUUUUAUCGCAUGGUAGAAGCAUCAAAGCUUUUGCGGUACAGGAUGGACCCGCAUCUGAUUAGCUAGUUGGUAAGGUAACGGCUUACCAAGGCGACGAUCAGUAGCCGACCUGAGAGGGUGAUCGGCCACAUUGGAACUGAGACACGGUCCAAACUCCUACGGGAGGCAGCAGUGGGGAAUAUUGCACAAAUGGGCGAAAAGCCUGGAUGCAGCAACGCCGCGUGAGCGAUGAAGGCCUUCGGGUCGUAAAGCUCUGUCCUCAAGGAAGAUAAUGACGGUACUUGAGGAGGAAGCCCGGCUAACUACGUGCCAGCAGCCGCGGUAAGAGUCACGUCGCG
rnacentral:rRNA from 1 species